rnacentral:rRNA from 1 species
AUACGGAGGGUGCAAGCGUUAUUGGGAAUCACUGGGCGUAAAGGGUGCGUAGGCGGUUUGAUAAGUCUGAUGUGAAAUCCUAUGGCUCAACCAUAGAACUGCAUUGGAAACUGUCAGACUAGAAUACUGAAGGGGCAGAUGGAAUUAGUGGUGUAGGGGUAAAAUCCGUAGAUAUCACUAGGAAUACCGAAAGCGAAAGCGAUCUGCUGGGAAGUUAUUGACGCUGAGGCACGAAAGCGUGGGGAGCAAACGGGAUUAGAAACCCCUGUAGUCC